ensembl:rRNA 5S_rRNA 5S ribosomal RNA
GUCUAUGGCCAUACCACCCUGAAAUGUGCUAGAUCUCAUCUGAUCUCGGAAGCUAAGCAGGGUUGGGCCUAGUUAAUACUUGGAUGGGAGAAAAUAUGUUCAAACUAAAAUUUAGUAAUAUAAAUU